UACGUAGGGGGCAAGCGUUGUUCGGAAUUACUGGGCGUAAAGGGCGCGUAGGCGGCACGGCAAGUCAGGAGUGAAAGCCCGGGGCUCAACCCCGGAAUGUCUUUUGAAACUGCCGAGCUAGAGUGCGGAAGAGGCAACUGGAAUUCCCAGUGUAGCGGUGAAAUGCGUAGAUAUUGGGAAGAACACCUGAGGCGAAGGCGGGUUGCUGGGCCGACACUGACGCUGAGGCACGAAGGUCAGGGGAGCAAACGGG
rnacentral:rRNA from 1 species